AACGUAGGUCACAAGCGUUGUCCGGAAUUACUGGGUGUAAAGGGAGCGCAGGCGGGAAGACAAGUUGGAAGUGAAAUCCAUGGGCUCAACCCAUGAACUGCUUUCAAAACUGUUUUUCUUGAGUAGUGCAGAGGUAGGCGGAAUUCCCGGUGUAGCGGUGGAAUGCGUAGAUAUCGGGAGGAACACCAGUGGCGAAGGCGGCUUACUGGACUGUUACUGACACUGAGGCACGAAAGCGUGGGGAGCAAACAGG
rnacentral:rRNA from 1 species